UGCGAGAUAAAGCGCCGAACUUUAGGUUUGAAAAGAAUAAUUUAACUCGAUUCCGAACGUUGAAAUGAAAAGAGAAAUUAAUUUUAAUACCCCAGUUUUAAUAGUAUUUAAAAAACGUUGUACCGAAAGUUCGGACAAUAUUAUUGUUGUAUUAAUAUGGCCGAGCGUAAAAAAUUAAAAUACACAAAGCACACAACGGUGAAAAAAUAAAAACGUGUCCCGGUAAAUGUUUUCCUAAUCAUAAUGGGUUGCAAGUAUA